rnacentral:rRNA from 1 species
GAUGAACGCUGGCGGCGUGCCUAACACAUGCAAGUCGAGCGAGAAUCUGCGGACGGAGCCUUCGGGCGGAGAAAGCGGAGGAAAGCGGCGGACGGGUGAGUAACGCGUGGGCAACCCGCCCUCCACACGGGGAUAGCCACCGGAAACGGUGAUUAAUACCCGAUAGUUGGUAGAACCGCAUGGUUUUAUCAGGAAAGAAAUUCGGUGGGGGAUGGGCCUGCGUCUGGUUAGCUGGUUGGUAGGGCAACGGCUUACCAAGGCAACGAUCAGUAGCCGACCUAAGAGGGUGAUCGGCCACACUGGAACUGAGAUACGGUCCAGACUCCUACGGGAGGCAGCAGUGGGGGAUAUUGCACAAUGGAGGGAACUCUGAUGCAGCAACGCCGCGUGAGUGAUGAAGUUCUUCGGAAUGUAAAACUCUGUCCUAAGGGAAGAAACAAAUGACGGUACCUUAGGAGGAAGCCCCGGCUAACUACGUGCCAGCAGCCGCCGUAAAAC